CUCUGGAGACCGUGUGGUAGGCUAGCCCUCCAACCUGGGCAUUCUCUCUCCUCGCCAAACCUUUGUUGUUAAUCUUGAGGGAUUUGGGUUGAAAGAAGACAAGGAUCGGACAAACCUUUCAUGACAGGCGGACAGUUUUGGCAGCUUUUUUGUCCAGCUGAAAGUGGUAUUUUUGUAAGGAUACUGAGAGGGCAUGAGAGGAAAGAGAUUUUCCCAGAAUACAGCUGAGCAGGCUUAAGUCCUAGGGACAACCUAGAUACGGACAAGGGGAAAGCCAACCACUAUCAGAAGUGGUUGAAGCCACCCCUCCUGACGAACCAUGGGAGACAAGUCUGGGAGCAAAGUAGCUGCUGCAAAGAACCAAAUCCAUCUCCGGGUAGUGAAGGGGCUGGAGGAUGUGGAUGUGCGUGAGAGGGAGGGCUGCACGUUC